rnacentral:rRNA from 1 species
UACGUAGGGGGCGAGCGUUGUCCGGAUUUAUUGGGCGUAAAGAGCUCGUAGGCGGUUCGAUAAGUCGGACGUGAAAUCUCCACGCUCAACGUGGAGGGGCCGUUCGAUACUGUCGUGACUCGAGUCCGGUAGGGGAGUGUGGAAUUCCCGGUGUAGCGGUGAAAUGCGCAGAGAUCGGGAGGAACACCCGUAGCGAAGGCGGCACUCUGGGCCGGUACUGACGCUGAGGAGCGAAAGCGUGGGGAGCAAACAGGGAUUAAGAAACCCCUG